UACGUAGGGUGCGAGCGUUAAUCGGAAUUACUGGGCGUAAAGCGUGCGCAGGCGAUUCGCCAAGUCAGGUGUGAAAUCCCCGGGCUUAACCUGGGAAUUGCGCUUGAAACUAGCGGGCUUGAGUGCGGCAGAGGGGGGUGGAAUUCCACGUGUAGCAGUGAAAUGCGUAGAGAUGUGGAGGAACACCGAUGGCGAAGGCAGCCCCCUGGGUCGACACUGACGCUCAUGCACGAAAGCGUGGGGAGCAAACAGG
rnacentral:rRNA from 1 species